UGGUUUGCUUAUAGACUUUAGUCCAGGUCAAAUGAAGCAUAGACUUUAUUGCAUUCUCGAAAAUUAUUUCAACAAUUCAUUGUUGAAGGUUAUACCAUGGGGGAAUCUGAAAGACUUAGCUAUAUCAGAAACAACCAAAAGAAGCUUAGAGUUGAUAAGUAUUCUAGCUUACAAACUUCAUUGGAUACUAGAACAGCUAAAGGCUUAACCAAGGGAAAAAGGGUCAUCUUACCCUCAAUGCUUGUUGGGAGCCCACGUUAUAUGGAUCAACUUUACUUUGACGGUAUGGCAAUAUGCAGUCAUGUUGGUUUUCCAAAUCUUUUUAUUACUCUAAUCUGUAAUCCAAAUUGGCCUGAAAUUCGUAGAUUACUUUCACCUUUGAAUCUCAAACCGACAGACAGGCCAGAUAUUGUAUCACGAAUUUUCAGAUUAAAAUAUAAACACAUGCUGCCAGACUUAACAAAGGGUCAAUUACUGGGAAAAGUGGUUGCAUGUAAG
rnacentral:lncRNA from 1 species